rnacentral:lncRNA from 1 species
CCAAAAUUGGGUUGUGGGGGGACAGUGUCCCCAAAAUUGGGCUGUGGGGGGACAGUGUCCCCAAAAUUGGGCUGAGAGGGGACAGUGUCCCCAAAAUUGGGCUGUGAGGGCACAGUGUCCCCAAAAUUGGGCUGUGGGGGGGACAGUGUCCCCAAAAUUGGGCUGUGAGGGCACAGUGUCCCCAAAAUUGGGCUGUGAGGGGACAGUGUCCCCAAAAUUGGGCUGUGGGAGGGCACAGUGUCCCCAAUAUUGGGCUGUGCAGGGACAGUGUCCCCAAAAUUGGGCUGUGGGGGGACAGUGUCCCCAAAAUUGGGCUGUGGGGGGACAUGUGCCAGGUGUGACAUCCCCAGUCCUGUGCCACUGCCCCAUGCUGUGUUCCUGUCCCCAACCUCUCUGCCACGUCCUCUGCUCAUGUCCCUGCUCUGUCCCUAUCCCAGUGCCCUGUCCCUUGUCCCCAUCCCUGUAUCGUGUCCCCUGUCCCAUCCCUGUCCCUUGUCCCCAUCCCUGUAUCGUGUCCCCUGUCCCAUCCCUGUCCCCAUCCCAGUGCCAGCUCCUUUGUCCUGUCCCUCCUCCGUGUCCCCUGUGUCCCCGCCCUGCCACCACCCUGUCCCAUCCGCCUGCCGUGUCCCUUGUCCCAUCCCUCUGCCGUUUCCUGUCCCCACGCCCUGCCAUCAUCCUGUCCUGUCCCUCUGCCAUGUCCUGUGUCCCUGUCCUGUCCCUCUGCCAUGUCCCGUGUCCCUGUCCCCAUCCCUCUGCCAUGUCCUGUGUCCCUGUCCUGUCCCUCUGCCAUGUCCCGUGUCCCUGUCCCCAUCCCUCUGCCAUGUCCCGUGUCCCCUGUCCUGUCCCUCUGCCAUGUCCCGUGUCCCCUGUCCCCGUCCCUCUGCCACGUGCCCCUGCCCUGCCAGCGCCCCGAGGUUCUGUCCCGUGCCAGCAGCCGGUGUCCCUGCCCUGUGCUGUCACCCUGUGUCCCCAUGCCGUGCCAGCUCCAGUGUCCCUGUCCCCCUGCCAUGCCCUGUGUCCCCAUUCCCCUGUCCCCAUGUGGUGGUGGCAGUGUCCCCUGUCCUCGCCUUGUUCCAUGCCACUGUCCCCGUGCCAUGUCCCCUGUCCCCAUUCCUUUCCUGUGCCACUGUCCCCUGUCCCCACACCUUUACUGUGCCACUGUCCCCUGUCCCUAUUCCUUUCCUGUGCCGUGUCCCCUGUCCCCACACCCUUACUGUGCCACUGUCCCCGUGCCAUGUCCCCUGUCCCCAUUCCUUUCCUGUGCCAUGUCCCCUGUCCCCCCGCCCGGGACCCCACCCUCAGCAGUGCCCCUGUCCCCGUGCUGCCCCCGUGCCGUGCCAGCCCCUGUCCCUGUCC